UGAAAGCCCUUGUCUACCUAAUCUCCAUGCU
rnacentral:piRNA from 1 species